rnacentral:rRNA from 1 species
UACGUAGGGUGCGAGCGUUAAUCGGAAUUACUGGGCGUAAAGCGUGCGCAGGCGGUUGUGCAAGACAGAUGUGAAAUCCCCGGGCUCAACCUGGGAACUGCAUUUGUGACUGCACGGCUGGAGUGCGGCAGAGGGGGAUGGAAUUCCGCGUGUAGCAGUGAAAUGCGUAGAUAUGCGGAGGAACACCGAUGGCGAAGGCAAUCCCCUGGGCCUGCACUGACGCUCAUGCACGAAGCGUGGGGAGCAAACAGG